ensembl:lncRNA
GCCCGUUCCUCAGACAAACCUGUAGAUUGAAUACAAUUAAAAUUUAAAAUUGCAUCAUACUGGACAAACUACUUGUACCUUUAAAAUACUAUUUGUUUUCAAAGGGAAAGCCCGUAUGUUGGCUGGCUGCUAAAAGAGAAAGUGCAAAGAAAGAAAGCAAAAGUAAGCAGUGGUAUAUAUAUUAAGCAAAAGCAGUGAGCAUUAAAAGCCAAGUGUGGAACUGCCGACAAGACAUGGACAUUGUAUCCAGCUAUUUCACAGUUCUGGUGGAGAAGGUCUACUCAUUCUUCUGGGGGACAAGCAGCAGUUCAACAGCCAAUCAGAAUCAGACAGAGCCAUCAGAGAGCUGUAAUGAAAGUGACAUCCCAGUCACAAAACCUGCUGAAACAUUGGUGUCUGAGGUCCAGGAGGUUAGCAGUCCUGUACAAACCACUGUAAAUGCACAUUCAGGUCAUUAUGAUCAUCCACACAUCCCGAUACAGAACUCAAACUCAUUCAGUGAUGCUGAUGAAACUGCUGAAGUGGACAAGAUCAACAUCAUUGUGAAAUGUGCUGGGAAAACCACGGAAGUGGACAUGUUUCCCAGGGAAAGCAUCUCAGUUUUACUAAAGGAGGCCUGUGACCGGGCAGGGAAGAAACCAGAGAAAAUGGCACUGGUUUAUGAAGGAAACUGUCUGGAUGUGAACAAGACAGUGAGCUGCUAUGGACUACGAGGAGGAACCACCGUACAUUUGAUUCAUGCCUAGAAUCAUGUUUCUGUUUACAGUAUACCAGUACACUACUGUACAUAAAAUAUUGUUCGAACUCAACUGUAUUAUUAGUAGUUGUUGUAGUAGUAGUUGUAGUAGUAGUCAGUGCUCAUGGGUUAUUGUUAAAAGUAUUGCAUUGCUGUGUACAGUCUCAAAUACAUUGUAAUAUAUAAAAAAUAAAACUGACUUGCAACACUGACUCACAUAUAUGAGUUCAAUCAGACAGUAUUUUUUACUGAUAUUGGGACACUUUAUGGCUGAUAACAUAUUGAUUAUUAUACAGACAGCAAUAACCUCAACUGAUUGCCUAUGUAAACUAUGCAUAAUUAAUAUAGUGAUUACUGAAUUUGAUCCUACUGUUUUAAAUAUAUUAAAGCACUUUAAGUGUUUUUACAAUGUUUGACUCACUGUUUAAUGAUUGAAAUAUUGCCGCGGGUGCUUAAUAUGGAUUGCAAAUGGCCAAAACUUGCAUUUUGUUUUAUUAUGUUUUAUUGAGAGAUGAUGUAAAUAUUUGCGGCUGUAAAACAGAUGAAAAACUGAGAGGGUUGUGCUGCACUUCUAUGGAUGUUUCGAGCCGGUCACGUGACUGAAAGCGAUCAAUACCGUUCGAGUGCUGUUUGUAACGGAGCAUUUCAUUGGUUAAACAGACGGAACAGACACGCCUCUUUCACUGAACUAGCCGUCUAACUAGAGGGCAUGUUGUUCUUUUAGGUCACCGUGUUAACAGCAUUUAUUUAAAAUAGAAAUCUUUUCUAACAAUAUACACUACCGUUCAAAAGUUUGGGGUCAGUACAUUUUUAUUCUAUCUUUUUUUAUUCAGCAAGGAUGUGUUAAAUUGAUAAGAAGUGAUAGCAAAUAUUUAAAUUGUUAGGAAAUAUUUAUAUUUUGAAUAAAUGUUGUUCUUUUGAACUUUUUAUUCAUCAAAGAAUCCUGAAAAAAGUAUUGCAGUUUCCAAAAAAAAUAAAAUAAAUAAAUAAAUAAAUUUGGCAGCACAACUGUUGCCAACAUUGAUAAUCCUAAUAAUAAAUCAGCAUAUUAGAAUGAUUUCUGAAGGACCAUGUGACACUUUAUACUGGAGUAAUGGCUGAUGGAAAUUCAGCUUUGCAUCACAGAAAUAAAUAAAUUCUAUUUUAAAGGUUAUUAAAAUAGAAAAAAAAAAUUUUUAUAUUGUAAUAACAUUUUGCAAGAUUACAGUUUUUUAAUCAAAUAAAUGCAGCCUUCAUGAGCAUAAGAGACUUCUUUAAAAAACAUUACAAGUCUUAUUGAUCGCAAAACUUUUGAAUGGCAGUGUAUUUGUAAAAGCUGCAUUAUUUGGAAAUGACUUUGUUACAGUUACAACUAAAAUUGUGGCCCGUUCCUCAGACAAACCUGUAGAUUGAAUACAAUUAAAAUUUAAAAUUGCAUCAUACUGGACAAACUACUUGUACCUUUAAAAUACUAUUUGUUUUCAAAGGGAAAGCCCGUUUGUUGGCUGGCUGCUAAAAGAGAAAGUGCAAAGAAAGAAAGCAAAAGUAAGCAGUGGUAUAUAUAUUAAGCAAAAGCAGUGAGCAUUAAAAGCCAAGUGUGGAACUGCCGACAAGACAUGGACAUUGUAUCCAGCUAUUUCACAGUUCUGGUAAGUUACUCCAAUUGAAUCUUGAAAAUUUGCUGUAUUCGUUGUACUGGAUUUAACGAUGGUAAAAUGUGUAAAACAGUGCUGAGAGUAUAUAGUGGUAGCUAAAAGCAUUAUCAGAUUAGAUAAAAAUGUUAACAUUUGACCUUUUUAUUUUAAGAUUUAUUUUGGGCCUUUAAUUUAAUAGGAUAGUGUAGAAAGCACAUGAAGCGAAGUGGCGCCGACAACAUUUGACCUUUUACUUACAAAAUAAAACAAACUUAAAGAGAUACUGAAGGAACAAAAGUCAUAACACUUUAGAUUAGGGAUCACAUAUAAACUAUUAGCCUAACUAAGAGUUUCCCUCGAUAAACUCCUAACAACUGCUUAUUGAUAUUAAUAAGUGAAGUGAAGUGAAGUGAAGUGACAUUCAGCCAAGUAUGGUGACCCAUACUCAGAAUUCGUGCUCUGCAUUUAACCCAUCCGAAGUGCACACACACAGAGCAGUGAACACACACACACACUGUGAACACACACCCGGAGCAGUGGGCAGCCAUUUUUUAUGCUGCGGCGCCCGGGGAGCAGUUGGGGGUUCGAUGCCUUGCUCAAGGGCACCUAAGUCGUGGUAUUGAAGGUGGAGAGAGAACUGUACAUGCACUCCCCCCACCCACAAUUCCUGCCGGCCCGAGACUCGAACUCACAACCCUUCGAUUGGGAGUCCGACUCUCUAACCAUUAGGCCACGACUUCCCACAGAGGUAGGUAGUUGUAGGUAAGGUAGUUGUUGAAUACAGUCAUCCAGAAUAAGGCAUUAAUAUGUGCUUUAUAAGUACUAAUAAACAGCCCAAA